GACGAACGCUGGCGGCGUGCUUAACACAUGCAAGUCGAACGGAAAGGCCUCUUUCGGGGGGUACUCGAGUGGCGAACGGGUGAGUAACACGUGAGUAACCUGCCCUUGACUUUGGGAUAACUUCAGGAAACUGGGGCUAAUACCGGAUAGGAGCUCCUGCUGCAUGGUGGGGGUUGGAAAGUUUCGGCGGUUGGGGCUGGACUCGCGGCUUAUCAGCUUGUUGGUGGGGUAGUGGCUUACCAAGGCUUUGACGGGUAGCCGGCCUGAGAGGGUGACCGGCCACAUUGGGACUGGGAUACGGCCCAGACUCCUACGGGAGGCAGCGGUGGGGAAUAGUGCACAAUGGGUGGGAGCCUGAUGCAGCAACGCCGUGGGCGGGAUGACGGCCUUCGGGUUGGAAUCCGCUUUCGCUCAUGACGAAGCUUUGUGUGACGGUAGUGGGUAAAGAAGCCCCGGCUAACUACGUG
rnacentral:rRNA from 1 species